rnacentral:rRNA from 1 species
AUUGAACGCUGGCGGCAGGCUUAACACAUGCAAGUCGAGCGAGCGGCGGACGGGUGAGUAAUGUCUGGGAAACUGCCUUAUGGAGGGGGAUAACUACGGGAAACGGUAGCUAAUACCGCAUACCAUCAGAUGUGCCCAGAUGGGAUUGGCUAGUAGGUGGGGGAAUGGCUCACCAAGGCGACGAUCCCUAGCUGGUCUGAGAGGAUGACCAGCCACACGGGAACUGAGAAACGGUCCAGACUCCUACGGGAGGCAGCAGUGGGGAAUAUUGCACAAUGGGCGCAAGCCUGACGCAGCCACGCCGCGUGUGUGAAGAAGGUCUUCGGGUUGUAAAGCACUUUCAGCGGGGAGGCGUUACCUGCAGAGGAAGCACCGGCUAACUCCGUGCCAGCAGCCGCGGUAAUUC